rnacentral:rRNA from 1 species
GACGAACGCUGGCGGCGUGCUUAACACAUGCAAGUCGAACGGUAAGGCCCUUCGGGGUACACGAGUGGCGAACGGGUGAGUAACACGUGGGUGGUCUGCCCUGCACUUCGGGAUAAGCCUGGGAAACUGGGUCUAAUACCGGAUAGGACCAUGGACUUCACGGUUUGUGGUGGAAAGCUUUUGCGGUGUGGAUGGGCCCGCGGCCUAUCAGCUUGUUGGUGGGGUAAUGGCCUACCAAGGCGACGACGGGUAGCCGGCCUGAGAGGGUGUCCGGCCACACUGGACUGAGAUACGGCCCAGACUCCUACGGGAGGCAGCAGUGGGGAAUAUUGCACAAUGGGCGCAAGCCUGAUGCAGCGACGCCGCGUGAGGGAU